AUCUUCGGCAUGGACGAAGUCUGACCGAGCACGCCGCGUGAGUGAAGAAGGUUUUCGGAUCGUAAAACUCUGUUGUUAGAGAAGAACAUCUGGGAGAGUAACUGUUCCCAGCUUGACGGUAUCUAACCAGAAAGCCACGGCUAACUACGUGCCAGCAGCCGCGGUAAUA
rnacentral:rRNA from 1 species